AUAUUGUAGGCACGCUCAGGCCCGACGAGAAGGCCAUCAUGACUUAUGUCUCCUGCUUCUAUCAUGCUUUCUCGGGGGCUCAGAAGAGGACUAGGAACUACAAAGUCUAUAAAGACAAGCUUUUUGAUGGGUCACGCUUAGGAUCAGAUUAUAAGGAGCCUACGAACUUGGCCAGUCUUUGCUCUUAUACCUCAAAGCUUAAAACGAUUUCCCUUCUUGCAGGUCAACCCACCGUACCACCUACAGUGAAUGCCUACACUUCACCUGAGGAAGAGAUCAAAACCCUGAAUAAGGGCACCGUGGUGUGCCUCCUCAGUGGCUUUUACCCACCUGCCUUCACCCUGAAAUGGAAGGAUGGUAAUGAUGAGAUCACAUCCGGCGUGGAGACCACCAAAGCUACCAAGCAGGGUGACAAAUACCUGGCCAGCAGUUACCUGACCUUGAGCGCCUCUGAUUAUCAAAACCACGACACGUUCACCUGUGAAGUGACCCAUGGAGGGCAGGUCCUUAAGAAGACAGUGCGGAAAAAUGGAAGUUGUUAAUUCCAUCAUGAAUUCCUCUGACCUUCCUCCAGUAUUAUCUCUUUUCCCCUUUCCUAAUUCUAGUUUGGUCAAUAACCUCUAUUUCUGUAUCAUCUAGUUACAGUCUGUAAUCUCCCAUGCCUUAAACCCCUUGAAAUCUAUCCCCCUCCCUUCGCCCUCUUAGUUUCAACCUUUAGCAGUUUAAUAAAGAUGGGUAUAUUUCA